rnacentral:rRNA from 1 species
UACGGAGGGGGCUAGCGUUGUUCGGAAUUACUGGGCGUAAAGCGCACGUAGGCGGCUUUGCAAGUUAGAGGUGAAAGCCCGGGGCUCAACCCCGGAAUUGCCUUUAAAACUGCAUCGCUAGAAUUGUGGAGAGGUAAGUGGAAUUCCGAGUGUAGAGGUGAAAUUCGUAGAUAUUCGGAAGAACACCAGUGGCGAAGGCGACUUACUGGACGCAUAUUGACGCUGAGGUGCGAAAGCGUGGGGAGCAAACAGG